rnacentral:rRNA from 1 species
GGAUUAGAUACCCUGGUAGUCCACGCCGUAAACGAUGAGAACUAGAUGUCGGGAGGAUCUGCCUUUCGGUGUCGUAGCUAACGCGUUAAGUUCUCCGCCUGGGGAGUACGCCGGCAACGGUAAAACUCAAAGGAAUUGACGGGGACCCGCACAAGCGGUGGAGCAUGUGGUUUAAUUCGAUGCAACGCGAAAAACCUUACCUACACUUGACAUACUUCGAAUUUUCUAGAGAUAGAUUAGUGCCUUAGGGAACGAAGAUACAGGUGCUGCAUGGCUGUCGUCAGCUCGUGUCG